rnacentral:rRNA from 1 species
AUGAGCGGGCGCCACCUCGUCCUCCUCCCCUGCCUCCUCCUCCUCCUGGCCGCCGCCGGCAGCGUUGCGUCGGCGUCGAGCCCCCCGAAGGUGAGCCCGGCGGAGGCGACGGGCUUCGUGCGCCGGUGCUGCCGGGCCACGAGCUACCCGCGCGCGUGCGAGCGGAGCCUGGUCCCGCGCGCGCCCGCGGUGGGCCUCAGCCCGCGCCGGCUCGCGCAGGCCGCGCUCGCCGCCGCCGCCGACGCCGCGCGCAACUGCUCCGCCUACAUCGGCUCCCCCUCCUCCUCCUACGCGUCGUCCAAGGGGAAGGGCGCGAUGGGGGACUGCGCCGAGAUGGUGCGCGACGCGGCGGACCUGCUGAGGCAGUCGGCGGCGGAGCUGGGCGGGCGGGUGGGGCGCGCCUCGUCGCCGCGCUUCGCGUGGUGCCUCAGCAACGUGCAGACCUGGGCCAGCGCCGCGCUCACGGACGCCGAGACCUGCCUCGACUCCCUCGCCACCUACGCCGGCGCCGGCGCGCCCCGGGAGGACGUGAGGCGCCGCGUCGUCGCCGUCGAGCAGGCCGCCGGCAUCGCCCUCGCCCUCGUCAACCGCCUCCAGCCCGCGCGCCGCACCGCCACCGCCAGCGCCAGCCACCAGUAG